GACGAACGCUGGCGGCGUGCUUAACACAUGCAAGUCGAACGAAGUGGCGAACGGGUGAGUAAUACGUGAGUAACCUGCCCUCCUUUUUGGGAUAAGCCUUGGAAACGGGGUCUAAUACCGAAUAAAGGGGGAUGGGCUCGCGGCCUAUCAGCUUGGUGGGGGGGUGAUGGGCUACCAAGGCGGUGCCGGGUUGCCGGCCUGAGAGGGUGAACGGCCACAUAUGGACUGCGCAGCGGCCCAGACGAGUAAGCAGGAGAGCAGUGGGGGAUAUUGAAGAAAGGGCGAAAGACUGAUGCAGCGAGAGCGAGGGGGGGUUGAGGACUUUCGAGUUGUGAACUUAUUUAACUAUCGAGAGGGUAGGUGGAGGAAAAGCGCGGGCUAACUACGGGCCAGCGCCGCGGUAAUAC
rnacentral:rRNA from 1 species